rfam:Arthrobacter sp. Hiyo8 DNA, complete genome, strain: Hiyo8.
GGUGGGUUGGCCGAGAGGCGAGGCAGCGGCCUGCAAAGCCGUAUACACGGUUCGAAUCCCGUACCCACCU